rnacentral:rRNA from 1 species
GACGAACGCUGGCGGCGUGCCUAAUACAUGCAAGUCGAACGCAGUGGGGACGGGUGAGUAACACGUGGGUAACCUCCCAUCAGAGGGGAUAACACUUGGAAACAGGUGCUAAACCGCUACUGAUGGAUGGACCCGCGGUGCAUUAGCUAGUUGGUGAGGUAACGGCUCACCAAGGCGACGAUGCAUAGCGGAUCUGAGAGGGUGAUCGGCCACACUGGAACUGAGACACGGUCCAGACUCCUACGGGAGGCAGCAGUAGGGAAUGUUGGGCAAUGGGCGAAAGCCUGACCGAGCAACGCCGCGUGAGUGAAGAAGGUCUUCGGAUCGUAAAACUCUGUUGUUAGAGAAGCGUUAUCUAACCAGAAAGCCACGGCUAACUACGUGCCAGCAGCCGCGGUAAUAC